rnacentral:snoRNA from 1 species
UUCCAUGAUGAUCAUUUUUUAUCAAUAUACGCUGGAAAUUACCGGCUGAGAUCUCCCUUGACGAAAACCAAAGGCUUUGUCUGAUU